rnacentral:rRNA from 1 species
GAUGAACGCUGGCGGCGUGCCUAAUACAUGCAAGUUGAGCGGGAGGUUUACCUCCAGCAGCGAACGGGUGAGUAACACGUAUCUAACCUGCCCUUAAGUCUGGAAUAACGUUGGGAAACCGACGCUAAUGCCGGAUAGGUAAUUGAAUCUUAUGAAUUAAUUAUUAAAGAAGCGUUUGCUUCGCUAAAGGAUGGGGAUGCGCAGCAUUAGAUAGUUGGUGGGGUAAUUGCCCACCAAGUCAACGAUGCUUAGCCGACCUGAGAGGGUGAUCGGCCACACUGGAACUGAGACACGGUCCAGACUCCUACGGGGAGCAGCAGCUAAGAAUCUUCCGCAAUGGGCGCAAGCCUGACGGAGCGACGCCGCGUGCAUGAUGAAGGCAGAGAUGUUGUAAAGUGCUUUUAUGGGUAG